CAGCCGGCAGCCCCGGUUCCUGACUGCCCGGCUGUGCUCCUUGUGGGCGGCCCGAACCACCUCGAGCUGGACAAUGGCCAAACCCACCCGGAGCGGUAGCACGGAGCCGGGGCUCGGGAGGGGUAGCCCUCCGUGAGCUGUCCCAUCGAAACCGGUUGCAACUUUCGCCAGUCUAGACCCCAGGCGACAAUGUCUGCACGUGACCCAGCCACCGAGGACUUUCUUUGAUGCCAGGUACCCUGGUUCUGAGGAGAUCAGAGUUCAGCGGAGCUCAUGUUUAUGUAUGAUCUGGACACUCUCGUCUUGCCAACUACUGUUAUCACAAAGCUAUGCCUUAAUGGCUUUUUUGAGCCAACGCCUCUCUAACAGUGACAUCAGGGUAAAUUUGCUUCCGUGGCCUGAGUCCAGAACACACCCUAGUGUUCUCUGGAGAGAAGCAGAGUCACGGAAGGAAGAGAUUUUGUAAUGUGGACAGUGUUCAGUGUUCAUCGCUGAGGAAUUGAGCGUCAGUUUGCAUUCGUCACGGGCAGAAGGCCCCGCAGCUGGUGGAAGGCCAGCAGCAGUGUAAAGGUAAGACUGAAUGGUGAGACUUCCUGGGAUGGAGGAGGUAGGGAAAUUAAAGGAAGCUUCCUGAGGUUAUGCCCCUUUGCUCCCUGUGUUCAUUUUCUGGAGCUGCCAUAACAAAAUACACAGCCUGGUUGGCUUGAACAACAGAAAUGUAUUGUCUUACA
rnacentral:lncRNA from 1 species